GUCAGUUUUGAUUUUGUUUUAUUUUAUUUACGUGCGGAUAGCGGAGGUUGAAAGACAGGUUUUUAACGAAGGAAUGAUAAAUAAGGUAAUUUAACCCGCAGUGCUUGUGACACGGUGUAUCCAAGAGUGUACUUUAACGCUCCGAUUUAAGAAGUUUCAGGAAAAGUUACAGGUUAUAAGGGUUACUGUCAACUGACUGUUUUUUGUGUCUAAAUUUUGCCAUGGGUUCGAGUUCAGGCUAUUCGGUGCAAGCUCAGUUACGGUACAUUGUAAACUGGUUCCACGAGUGGAGUGACAUGCAAAGAAGUGACUUUUUGCCUAUAUUAGCACAGAAAAUUUCACCAGCAAAUUACGUCAACGGUCUCGUCUCGGGACUAGAUAGCUUGGAGUUUAAGGACAGGCCACCGAGUUUAUUCCAGUGCAGAGUUAAACUCUUCAAGGAAUGGUCAGAGAGUUGGGGCCAGGCCGAGUGUGAUCAGCUGUUGAAACAAAUCAAAGAGGUUGACGCUGAUUUUAUGGCCAAAUUUGAAGAAGAAUUGAAUCAAUUUUCGAAAGAUAAAUUGGGCGCAGAUCAAGAAAUAAAGGAAGAUAUUGGUAUUUCUGUUCCUCAGCCAACUUCCAAUGACGUCUAAUACCUUCGUGUUUUCAUGUUGCUGCUUGAUGCGUGCAUCAAGAUGCGUGCGUGUCGUGGCAACUCAGUUUCGAUGCAGGAAUGGCACUGCCAACAUUUUCAGUGAGACACUUGAGCGGUUUGCAGUAUUAUUGCAGAUUAGAAAUAUGUUUAUUUCUACACAAGGUAAGCAUUGUGUAAUUUUUAUGUGUAGCUUUUUGAUCAGUUAGGCUGUUUAAUAAUAGCCUGUCUGCAAAAGAAGUUUUAUUUAUUCUUUUCAAAUAUUUAUGUAAUAAAUUUAUUCACAUAUCUUGGUACAUGGUUUCAUAUGAAAAUAUGUUUAUAUUUAUUGUAUCAUUAUGGUAUUGGACAAUGUUAGGUGCCUGGUUUACGUGUAAAUCAAGGGAGGUAAGUUCCCACUAUCUGAUUUUUAAAUUUUAAGCCAUGGAUUGCGGUAAAGUUUUCAUAUUUCAAUUUAUGGCUUGACAGGGCAUAAAACCUAUCUUAGGGCACUAUUAAAUUUAACAUUCAUGGACUGGUGUAGUUAUUACAACAAUAAUAGUUGCUAUUGUCUAGAGUGUGUUAUUAAAUGACAAAUCGUAACAAAUGCAAUAUAUUACUCAUGCCCUGCCAUUCCAAAAAUAUGGAUAAAUAACUCAAAUUUAAAAAUAAGGCCAAAAAUUUAAAAUUCCAAAUGGUGGGGACUGAUCCCAAUUUAGUCUUAGUAUUUAGCAAGGAGCAUUGUGUUGCUGUAGUUUAAAACAUGUUUUUUAAGUUACAGAAACAGUUACUGUUUAAGAUUUUUUGUAGAUACAAAAUGUAUGCAGUUACAAAAAAUACUGAAUUCACUCGAUUCUAAGACUUUUUUUUUGUAGGUACAUCUUACAAAUAAAUGCUUUUACAUUUUCCCAAUUUAUUGAGUUUGAGAAUUGAGGGGAGUGCAGCUGACUAUAUUGAUGACGUUCUAUAAUUGCUGGCAAAAUUAUCAACAUUUUUUAAUAAUUGAAAGGUGCCUCAGCAAAUGAUUUUAAGUACAAUUUUAUAAUUUUUACAAGAGAACUUCACAAAAUGGUAUUUCAUGUUUUAUUGCUAUUAUUUUUUACAUGUCAUGUUAUGUACUAGUUGGUGUAAAAUAAGACAUACUUGCCUUAACUUUGCCAAAUUAAAUUGAAUAAUAUAAAGAAACCAAUAAACUUUUAUUUUGAGAAAACGCAAAUGCCACUUCAAUGUUUGAUUGUGGUACCAUUCAAGUAUCAUUAGAGCAGGUUAUGCUACGAGACUGUAAUUCAGGAAUUGGCGAAAGAAACGUGGCAGCUAGUAGAACGCCACAUAAUGAUAAAAGGCCUGUAAUCUCAGGUGUACCACUGUGUUAGCAAGGCUCUCAUUUAUUUAAAAUCAAUACUGGGCCUAUUCCCUGCCCUUCUUUGAGGUUAAGGCAGCCAAAUAUAUGUAAGAUUGACGAGCACAUUCUGUAGACAAACUGUGCUUAGCAGUGCUGCAGUGAUGGUAAACUACUUACAGUGGAGUCCCAUAAAUCCGGACUAGAUGUGACCGGACAAUCACCGAAAGUCCUGAUUAAACUGAUAAUACCUUAAAAUGCACAUAAUACAAGUUUUCAAUGGCUAAAACUAAAAAAAUUUAUAUAUUUUUUUUACAAAUACAACUUUUUUUACUUUUUUCUGCAGCUUUAUUUCAGUUUUAAUAUUAUGUAUUGUAUAUGUAAAUCAAUGUUUUUAAUCUGCGAGCUGACGUAAAAUAAAUAAAAAAAUAUUUUCCAUCGGGAUUAAUCAAAUGUCUGGACGAGCAUGGUUCAGAUUAACAGGACUCUACUAUAUUAUUACAAAUAAAUAUAAUGCUUGAGUUGAAGUGUAUGUUAUGUUUGUGGGGUAAUGUUUUCUUCCGAGAAACCGGAUCAAAAGCGUAAAUCAUCAUAAAAUAAAUGAUGUCUUAGAUUCGAGUAGAUAUUGUACUUGUGUGCGUGAUUGGUUGUUGUGUAUCAUAGGGGUCAGCAGUUGUUCAGUAUGCUACAUCCAUUCUGGGCUCCAGUUACUGCUGUGGUACUUGGUUCCUGGUGACAUACCAGGGUUGUUACUGUGUAAUGUGAUUAAGGUACCUCUGGUUGCAGGGUUGCUCAACUUUACAAAUUGACCGUCGGUAUAAGUGGUAUGGGAAUUUUCAUUUUGCCUUGGAUACUGGACCCGUGUCUAUAAACCAUUCAUCAAUGUAGCAAAGUAUAGUGGCUUAAAAGAAAGCACAGCGUUGAGAUGAUAUUCCAGUUUCCUGCAUCGCUAUUAUAGGUUCAGUUAUUUCUUCACGCUGUUUAUUUUCUUGAUUUACUAAAGGAAUAAAUAAAGUAUUAAAAUUUAAUUACUUAAUGUCUUGUGGGUCGUAAAUGACAACUGUACAUAGAUGGAAAAAAAACAUAAUGGAAACUGUAAAACUACAUGCAACUACUUGCCUUCCAUUUCUUCCCAAAAAAAAAUUAUAAUAUAGUUGGAAUGAUUUUAGUUUAAAUAAAAAAUAACAAAUGGUCAAUAGUUUCAACAAACAAGCAGUUAAACUGUUUUUAAAGUUAAGUAAUAAAACUACCUUCCUUAAUACUUGAGUGAAUAGGAUAUACAGUAUUACGGUAAUUCCUUUCCAGAUGCAAACAUAGUUCUCUUUAUUUUCUCCAGUGGUGUAUACAGGAAUUUGUUUUGGGACAGAUAAAAUUAUAAUCAAACAAACUAUAUAAUAUAAAAUUAUAAUUUUAGUAUUCACAAAAAACUUACAUCAACUAUGGGUUUAGAAAUAACAUUAUCGUUCUCAGCAUGCUUCACUUCCCGUGUGGUUUGUAGUUUGAGGUCUUGUUAAAGCUCACCUUGCAUCAGUGAAAAUAACAUACUUCUCCCUUCACUGAGACCUUUCACCGAUUUUCUCCCGUCAGGACUUGCUUUGAAGUUUGGGUAAUGUUCAAGUACCUACAUGAUAAAAAAAAUUUAUGACCCGACCCACAAUUUUCAACAUAGUUGUAAACAAAUGUAAUUUUCAUUGCUGGUUAAAAUGUACCAUUUUUAUCUAACUCAGGUUUUCAACACUUUAUUCAGUAGGUUGUUUUAUUUAGUCUGAUUUAGCAUUGUAAAGUACAUAUUAAAUACAAAAAAAAUUAAGCAAUUACAUAUAUCUGCUCAGAGUUUUUAUUCUAAAAAAAAUCAUAUUAAAUAUGUAGAUUUUGGAAAUGUAUGGGCCUGUCCUGGUUUUUUUUUUUCAAGUACAUAAAAAACAAACCCUGCCAUAAAGAAAGUAUUGGUUUUACAGUACAAAUUUUUACUAAAAGGAUAAUUGGAGCUCAGAAGUUAUGAUUUGUAUUUUAUAUACAUACAAAAUAAAAUGAACAACCACCUUCAUAAAUAAUGUGAUUUUUACUUUAGAGAUUUUACAUGGGAUGUUUGUGUCAUAAAGUUAGUGUUUGUCUCACGUUACUGCACUAAAUUUUGACAGACAUUCCAGCCAAAGAAAUAGUAUGUAAACAUAAAUCCUGCCAUUUGUAAAGUAUUGUGUCUGGAGAUAAGUUAUGACUUGUUGUGUGGUGUUAGGUUGGCAGUUACAAAUAAAAUAGUGCCUGAAAACCAAAUUUACACAUUUAAUCUUUAAAAAAAAUAAUAAUAAUUUCUGGUCAAGCUGUGCUUUAUAAGACAUAAUUAUUUUUUUGGAAGUUGUAUUUUAUAUUUGCUUAUGAAACAGCAUUAAUAGAUAAGAAAGUAUCACACACACCCCAGAUCAACUUUGUUUUGAAACAAGACGUUAGCAGUUGUGAUGGAAUGAUACAAUAUAUCCUUCCUACUUUUCUACACAAAUGACAGAAUUUAGUGAAGUUACGUGACUCGGACUUGUAGUGUUAGGCUGGGUUUAUAAACUACGUAAGGAACGCAACAACGCAAUAACACAACACGCAACCAAUGCAAGUAUGUAAAUUGAUGUCGUUUUAAAGCACGUAAAUCGCAGGAUGCCGCCAACCCUACAAAAUGAAAUUUUGAAACGGUAUAAAACUAAUUCCUUCACCUGACUUCUUUUGUUAAUUCAUGUUUAUCAUAUAAACAUACAAAAUUGUGUAUAAUUUUAUUUUGAAAUACAUAGUUAUUUUCUUUCACUGUGCAAAAGUUCAAUAAGUAAAAGCAUCAUUUAUAUGUAAUGUUGUUACAUUCCAGGUUGGCCCAGCAAGGCAACCCGGGAAUAAUAACUAAUACAAUUCAACACUGUUAUAGACAUGUAGGUCGUCUUUUUUUGAUUUGGUAGAGUUUUUAUUUAAAAUUAAAAAAUAAACUACUUCGGAUUUCCUUUGUUUAUUACUAAACAAAAACAACCUUGACUUGCACGCUAUAUCACAAAGUUCAGUUCUCGGGCCAAAGUUUGUAAAUUGGUUAAGUUUACACACACACACACACACACGCACGCGCACACACACACACACACAGAGAGAGAGAGAGAGAGAGAGAGAGAGAGAGAGAGAGAGAGAGAUCAAAUAAUUCUGGUACUAAAAAAUUGCAAUACAUACCAAUAGGUAGUUCCAGUUCGUCAGAAAGGCUUUCUGGCGCUUGAUAUUAUAAAAAAAAAAAUUAUUAAGUCCCGGUGUUAAAGUUACAUAACCCGGGAAAAAUUACCCAGUGGAAAAAACAUUCCCGGUUGGGUGAUGGUCACCCUGGAGCCAAUGCCGACGCCUGCAGUCUAAUUUCAAAUUAGAAUGUCCAAAACAAAACAAAAAUUAUUCUUCGGCCAGGCCCAGACUAACAGGCAUUAAAAGGUCCCUUUGGCAAAUCACUUCGUAUUUUUUGUCGAGCUGCCGACUACACUUCCACACUCCGCGACUGUCGAGCGACAACUGGCUCGCCACACGCAGUUGCCUCCUUUUUCUGAGCCAACACAAAAGGGAGAAAUCCCGUGGGCCAACCGACCAAUCACAAUUAUUCCUUGAAAAAUACUGGCAUGGGGAGACACGUCACGUCACCUCGAAGUUCACCCUGAUUGGCUGAUGAGACUGCGCCCAGCGAAAGUUCCAGUUUCUUGGUGCGCAGUUACAUGUCCGCGUGCUCGCGCCAGUGUGUCCCGCCCAUGUCCUUUCUUUCUAUUGAAACUUUCUAGACUGUUCUCGAAAACUACCGUGUAACUAUUCAUGCUAUGCUUUAAAAAAUAUGUAAAAAUGUAAAUAAUACACAUGUUAAUUUUCAAUUAUGAAGUAAACAAAUAAUAAAACAUUACAAAACAUAACUUAAAUUAAUAAUCACCAACAAAA